AAUCUACCUAGUAGAAGGGGAUAGCCCGGGGAAACUCGGAUUAAUACCGUAUACCUCCUUAGGGAGAAAGAGGGCUUAGCUUUGAUGCUCUCGCUAUUAGAUGAGCCUGCGUAAGAUUAGCUUGUUGGUGAGGUAAUGGCUCACCAAGGCAACGAUCUUUAGCUGGUCUGAGAGGACGAUCAGCCACAUUGGGACUGAGACACGGCCCAGACUCCAACGGGAGGCAGCAGUGGGGAAUAUUGGACAAUGGGCGCAAGCCUGAUCCAGCCAUACCGCGUGUGUGAAGAAGGCUUUCGGGUUGUAAAGCACUUUAAGUAAGGAGGAAAAGAUUGUAGUUAAUACCUGCAAUCCGUGACGUUACUUACAGAAUAAGGACCGGCUAAUUCCGUGCCAGCAGCCGCGGUAAUACGGAAGGUCCAAGCGU
rnacentral:rRNA from 1 species